rnacentral:tRNA from 1 species
GAGGAUGUAGCUCAAGUGGUAGAGCACAUGCUUAGCACACAUGAGGUCCUGGGUUCAAUCCCCAGUGCCUCCA